rnacentral:rRNA from 1 species
AUUGAACGCUGGCGGCAUGCCUUGCACAUGCAAGUCGAACGGUAACGGGCCUUCGGGUGCCGACGAGUGGCGAACGGGUGAGUAAUGCAUCGGAACGUACCUUUCAGUGGGGGAUAACGUAGCGAAAGUUACGCUAAUACCGCAUAUUCUGUGAGCAGGAAAGCAGGGGAUCGCAAGACCUUGCGCUGAUUGAGCGGCCGAUGUCAGAUUAGCUAGUUGGUGAGGUAAAGGCUCACCAAGGCGACGAUCUGUAGCGGGUCUGAGAGGAUGAGCCGCCACACUGGAACUGAGACACGGUCCAGACUCCUACGGGAGGAAGCAGUGGGGAAUUUUGGACAAUGGGGGGAACCCUGCUCCAGCCAUGCCGCGUGAGUGAAGAAGGCCUUCGGGUUGUAAAGCUCUUUCGGUCGGGAAGAAAUCGCAUGGGUUAAUACCCUGUGCGGAUGACGGUACCGGCAUAGGAAGCACCGGCUAACUACGUGCCAGCAGCCGCGGUAA